rnacentral:rRNA from 1 species
UACGUAGGUGGCAAGCGUUGUCCGGAUUUACUGGGCGUAAAGAGCUCGUAGGCGGUUCGGUAAGUCGGGUGUGAAACCUCCAGGCUCAACCUGGAGACGCCACCCGAUACUGCUGUGACUAGAGUCCGGUAGGGGAGCGUGGAAUUCCUGGUGUAGCGGUGAAAUGCGCAGAUAUCAGGAGGAACACCGGUGGCGAAGGCGGAUCUCUGGCCGAUACUGACGCUGAGGUGCGAAAGCGUGGGGAGCAAACAGG